rnacentral:snRNA from 1 species
AUAUCUAAAAGAAUUAAACAUAUCUGUUUUUAUCAGUUUAAUCUCUGAUAUGUGAUCAAUCGAUCACUUUGAGAUUAUUCUAUUUUUGAAAUCAUGGUGAAUUUGAAAAAGGGGCUUGUUCCUCACUUACCGCGGGUCGAUCCGGUAUUGUAUCUACCUACGGGAACAAUCUAUUUACC